AUAAGUAAUGUGAAUUGCAGAUUUCAGUGAAUCAUCGAAUCUUUGAACGCACCUUGCGCUCCUUGGUAUUCCGAGGAGCAUGCCUGUUUGAGAGUCAU
rnacentral:rRNA from 1 species